rnacentral:lncRNA from 1 species
CUGGACUUAAUACAGCAAUGGAACAGGAUCAAUUGGUGGACAUGCGUUUGCUUUCGGUUUUGCCAGAUCUACAUGUUCUUGGCCCAAAUGUUGUGGUGCUUGAUAGUUUUAGUAGGUUCAUCUCUCAGAUCAUGCUUUUGUUCAAUUCUUUCCCUGCGGUAAUGUUUGGUAAUUGUUUUUGGAAAUGCUUUUGGUUGAAUCAGUAAUCAUGGACUCGAUCUAAUCUUUUGUGACCUCAAUAUGAUGAGAUUUGGGUGCUGGGAAUUGAUUUCUAUUUGUUUGCAAUUGGUAGGCCUUGUAACAUUCCUUGGAGAAGGAGUGAAUUGAAUCUGAAAUUUGCUUGAGCAUCAUAAUUUCGGUUUAACCGGUUUGGAAGGGGAAAAAACCGAACCGACCCGAACCGAAAUUAAUCGGUUUGAACCGGUUUUCGGUUCGGUUCGGU